rnacentral:rRNA from 1 species
UGGGGAAUUUUCCGCAAUGGGCGAAAGCCUGACGGAGCGACGCCGCGUGGAGGAUGAAGGAUUUCGGUCUGUAAACUCCUGUCAGGGGGGACGAUAAUGACGGUACCCCCAAAGGAAGCAUCGGCUAACUACGUGCCAGCAGCCGCGGUAAGACGUAGGAUGCGAGCGUUGUUCGGAUUUAUUGGGCGUAAAGCGUGCGUAGGCGGUUAUCUAAGUCUGGUGUUAAAGCUAGGGGCUCAACCCCUGUGAUGCACUGGAAACUGGGUGACUCGAGUGCGGUAGGGGAAGGUGGAAUUCCGAGUGUAGCGGUGAAAUGCGUAGAUAUUCGGAAGAACACCGGUGGCGAAGGCGACCUUCUGGGCCGCAACUGACGCUGAGGCACGAAAGCCUGGGGAGCGAACGG